AUGGAUUGCGUUGAUAUAGCUGUAAUAGUUAUUAUUCAAUUAAAUGUUAAGUUGUGUUUUUCGUUCCUUUUCUCUGUGCUGUAGAUUAAUGCCUUGAGAAUGGGUUGGAAUAGAGUAUACGGAAGUUUGGAAGAGGCAAUUAAACCAGAAUUAACUAUAAAACAGAAAUUAGCAGUGAGAAUCCGGGUUCUGAUAUGAGUUCAGUGUUGCAUGGAUUGGACGAUGAGUUUGGGGUACGGGGCUAACGAAGACAAGAGAAAUAGGGGAAUCUGUAAACCAUUUGGCCUGACUCCUCAAUGUGUUAAUUCGUUUUUUUAAUGAAGCUGCUUAGACUUCACUAAGAGACAUGAAAACUUACCGAGUGUUGUUUUGAUCGGUUAAGUAAAUUGUUAUCGCAAUACAAAGGUGAAUCUCUUUUCCAGAU